UACGGAGGAUCCGAGCGUUAUCCGGAUUUAUUGGGUUUAAAGGGUGCGCAGGCGGGAGACUCAGUCGGUGGUGAAAUCUUGCAGCUCAACUGUAAGCGUGCCAUUGAUACUGGUUUUCUUGAGUGUGGAUGAAGUAGGCGGAAUUUGUGGUGUAGCGGUGAGAUGCAUAGAUAUCACGAGGAACUCCGAUUGCGUAGACAGCUUACUAAAACCAUAACUGACGCUCAUGCACGAAGGCGUGGGGAGUCAAACA
rnacentral:rRNA from 1 species